rnacentral:misc_RNA from 1 species
UUCUAUUCCACGGCAUCCUCAUGCAGUUGUCCCAAUUCAGAUAUAUUCCUCUAGCAUUGCUUCUUUUGGUGAAAAGGACUCCUCUAGUUUCCAAGAAUUUAAUUCCUUUAGGAAAAAUGCUCUAUGUGCUGCUGAAUUCUCGAAGACUCACCCUCCUGUCCCUGCAAAAUACCAGCAUAACCUUCUAUUAUUACUAAAGGAGGUUUUGAAGAUCAAUGCACAUCUUUUUGCUGAAGGCGAGAAGACCUUAUUGAAAGCUUUUUUAUCACUCUCAGAUGAUAGUCAGAGGCUCUUUGCUCGGCUUUAUGCACGUAAAGGGCCAUGGUUUCGGACAGCUAGCAUAUCAUAUGCUGAAAUAUGUGAUUAUAAAGAAGCUGUUAAGGGUCUUUCUGAAGCAGAAUGUGUUACUUUAUUCGAAUCAAUUGAUAAACUACAAAUUGGUGACUUGAAGGAGGUAUUGGAUGUUCUAAAUGUUGGUGAACUGCGG